GAUGUCUGGAUUAGUCUGGCUAAUGCAGGGAUAGUUCCAGUUGAACAAGCACAUAUAUCACUCUCUGGUAAAAACCAAGAUUCUGUUGUCUCAAUACCAUAUGAAACCUUAAAAUCUGCCCUUCCUUUGAAGCCUGGUGCAGAAGUGAUCCUACCUGUGACAUUGAAAGCCUGGCAGCAUGGACCAGUAGACCCUGAUAUUACUGGUGGUAAGCUUGCCUCUGGAAGUAUGGGGAGGCAGUUAAAGGAUGGUAGCAGCCCCACAUUGUUGAUUCAUUAUGCUGGGCCAUUGACAGAUUCUGGAGAUCCUCCAACAAAAGAAUCUGUUUUUCCUCCUGGUAGACGCCUGGUGGUUCCCUUACACAUUUGUGUUUUGCAAGGUUUGUCUUUUGUGAAAGCUUGCUUGCUUUCAAUGGAAAUUCCUGCACAUGUUGGCCUAAAUCUUCCAGAACCAGUUCAUGUUGAGACUAAUGGUAGCAAAGAAGCUGUUGGUUCAAAAAGUAAGAUGGAUGGAUUGCUAAAAAUUGAUCCUUUCAGAGGAAGUUGGGGGCCACGUUUUCUUGAAUUAGAAUUGUCUAAUCCAACUGAUGUUGUGUUUGAAAUUAGCGUUUCUGU
rnacentral:misc_RNA from 1 species